rnacentral:rRNA from 1 species
UAAUACAGAGGGUGCAAGCGUUAAUCGGAAUUACUGGGCGUAAAGCGUGCGUAGAUGGUUAUGUAAGUCGGAUGUGAAAGCCCCGGGCUCAACCUGGGAAUUGCAUUCGAGACUGCAUAGCUAGGAUGCGGAAGAGGGAAGCGGAAUUUCCGGUGUAGCGGUGAAAUGCGUAGAUAUCGGAAGGAACACCAGUGGCGAAAGCGGCUUCCUGGUCCAGCAUCGACGUUCAGGCACGAAAGCGUGGGGAGCAAACAGGAUUAG